GAUGAACGCUGGCGGCGUGCCUAAUACAUGCAAGUCGAGCGAUCAGACGAGUUGCUUUCUCCUCUGACUUUAGCGGCGGACAGCGGAUUAACACCUCGUGAACCUACCUAUACGACUUUGUUAACUUCCGCAUACCAGUGCUACUACCGCGUAAUAUAUUUAACCGCUUGCUUCAAUAGUCAAAGACGGUUUUGCUUUCACUUAUAGAUGGAUCCGCGCCGCAUUAGCUUGUUGGUAAGGUAACGGCUUACCAAGGCACCGAUGCGUGGCCGACCUGAGAGGGGGAUCGGCGGAACUGGAACUGAGACGAGGUCGAGAAUCCUACGGGGGGCAGCAGUAGGGAAGAUUACGGAAUGGGCGAAAGCCUGACGGAGCAACGCCGCGUGGGUGAUGAAGGUCGUCGGAUCGUAAAACUCUGUUAUUAGGGGAGAACAAAGGUGGAAGUAACUAUGCACGUCUUGACGGUACCUAAACAGAAAGCCACGGCUAACUACGUG
rnacentral:rRNA from 1 species